CAACACUUGAUACUUCAAAGCACUUUUUCUAGCCGAACGGGUGAAUUUUUCCUUGCGUUAACCGGUUAACCAUAUGCGUUAACCGGUUAACACUGUUUGAAAACUUUUAGAAAAUUCUUUUCUGCCUUGCGUUAACCGGUUAACCAUAUGCGUUAACCGGUUAACACUGUUUGAAAACUUUUAGAAAAUUCUUUUCUGCCUUGCGUUAACCGGUUAACCAUAUGCGUUAACCGGUUAACACUGUUUGAAAAUUAAAAAAAUUUAUUUCGUAUUGCGUUAACCGGUUAACCAUACGCGUUAACCGGUUAACACUGUUC
rnacentral:lncRNA from 1 species